AGCUCCGGUAUCUUAGUGGUUAGAGCGUCCGCCUCGGAUGCGAGAGGUCGUGGGUUUGAACCCCGGUCGAGUCA